UCCGAUAAUAUUUUUCGAUAUCCGAUCAAACGUCUGAUGUAACAUACAAAAAUUUUCAUUUCACCAACUAACCACCCCUUGACUUUAUCUUAGUCCUUAUAAUUUUAUCAGUUUACGAAGAAUUCCAACAUUUUAUACCAAACCCCCUAAAAUGCACAAACAAUUAUAGAAUCUACCAGCUCCCCACUGACAGCCACCACCGC
rnacentral:lncRNA from 1 species